rnacentral:rRNA from 1 species
UUCUCGUUGGUGACCAGCGGAGGGAUCAUUA